CCCAGAGGAAGGUGCUGGUCUUUGAACCAGGAAGUGGGCCCUCACCAGACACCAAAUCUGGGGACUUGAUCUCGGACCUCCCAGCCUUCAGAACUAUACCUGAAGGCAGAGGGUGACCCUUUGACGUCUCAGGGCCAUAUAUCAGUUCCCUAACAGUGAAGCCCACAACAGGCAAGAAUUUCUGACAUGACAUGGGAAAAGCUGAAGAAGUCAGUCUUUGGGGUGUGUUUUCAUCUAGGAGGUGGCUUGAGAUGGAUUCAUGGCAAAUCACAAUAAAUUAUUUAUCAGAU